AUACGUAGGUGGCAAGCGUUAUCCGGAAUUAUUGGGCGUAAAGCGCGCGCAGGCGGUCCUUUAAGUCUGAUGUGAAAGCCCACGGCUCAACCGUGGAGGGUUAUUGGAAACUGGGGGACUUGAGUGCAGAAGAGGAGAGCGGAAUUCCACGUGUAGCGGUGAAAUGCGUAGAGAUGUGGAGGAACACCAGUGGCGAAGGCGGCUCUCUGGUCUGUAACUGACGCUGAGGCGCGAAAGCGUGGGGAGCGAACAGGAUUAGAUACCCUGGUAGUCCACGCCGUAAACGAUGAGUGCUAAGUGUUAGAGGGUUUCCGCCCUUUAGCGCUGAAGUUAACGCAUUAAGCACUCCGCCUGGGGAGUACGGUCGCAAGACUGAA
rnacentral:rRNA from 1 species